rnacentral:rRNA from 1 species
CCAGACUCCUACGGGAGGCAGCAGUGGGGGAUAUUGCACAAUGGGGGGAACCCUGAUGCAGCGACGCCGCGUGAGGGAAGACGGCCUUCGGGUUGUAAACCUCUGUCGCAGGGGACGAAGGAGAUGACGGUACCCUGUGAGGAGGCCACGGCUAACUCCGUGCCAGCAGCCGCGGUAAUACGGAGGGUGCGAGCGUUAAUCGGAAUUACUGGGCGUAAAGCGCUCGUAGGCGGUAUGUCAAGUCAAGGGUGAAAUCCCCGCGCUCAACGUGGGAGCUGCCUUUGAAACUGGCAAACUGGAGUGUGUGAGAGGAUAGUGGAAUUCCAGGUGUAGGAGUGAAAUCCGUAGAUAUCUGGAGGAACAUCAGUGGCGAAGGCGACUAUCUGGCACAUAACUGACGCUGAGGAGCGAAAGCGUGGGUAGCAAACAGGAUUAGAUACCCUCGUAC